AACGCAUAUUGCGCUCUUUGGUAUUCCAAAGAGCAUGCUUGUUUGAGUAUCAGUAAACACCUCAAAACUCUUGAUCUUUUUCAAGCGUUUUGGACUUGAGCAAACCCAACGCCUUUUCUUUUAAGAUCUGUUGCGGCGGGUUGCUUGAAAUGCAGGUGCAGCUGGACAAUCUCCUGAGCUAAAAGCAUAUUUAUUUAGUCCCGUCAAACGGAUUAUUACUUUUUGCUGCAGCUAACAUAAAGGGAGUUUUGACCAUUAUGGCUGACUGAUGCAGGAUUUCACAGAGAAAAGGCCGGCAACGGUUUUGUCUCUGUCAAACUCGAUCUCAAAUCAAGUAAGACUACCCGCUGAACUUAA
rnacentral:misc_RNA from 1 species